rnacentral:rRNA from 1 species
AUACGGAGGGUGCAAGCGUUAAUCGGAAUUACUGGGCGUAAAGGGCGCGUAGGCGGUCUAUCAAGUCAGGUGUGAAAUCCCACGGCUCAACCGUGGAGGUGCAUCUGAAACUGUUAGACUUGAGUAUGGGAGAGGAAAGUGGAAUUCCCGGUGUAGAGGUGAAAUUCGUAGAUAUCGGGAGGAACACCAGUGGCGAAGGCGACUUUCUGGACCAAUACUGACGCUGAGGCGCGAAAGCGUGGGGAGCAAACAGGAUUAGAAACCCUAGUAGUCC